UACAGAGGGUGCAAGCGUUAAUCGGAAUUACUGGGCGUAAAGCGCACGUAGGCGGUUUUUUAAGUCAGAUGUGAAAGCCCCGGGCUCAACCUGGGAAUUGCAUUUGAAACUGGGAAACUAGAGUAUGUGAGAGGGGGGUAGAAUUCCAAGUGUAGCGGUGAAAUGCGUAGAGAUUUGGAGGAAUACCAGUGGCGAAGGCGGCCCCCUGGCACAAUACUGACGCUCAGGUGCGAAAGCGUGGGGAGCAAACAGG
rnacentral:rRNA from 1 species